UACGUAGGGUCCAAGCGUUAAUCGGAAUUACUGGGCGUAAAGCGUGCGCAGGCGGUUGUGCAAGACCGAUGUGAAAUCCCCGAGCUUAACUUGGGAAUUGCAUUGGUGACUGCACGGCUAGAGUGUGUCAGAGGGGGGUAGAAUUCCACGUGUAGCAGUGAAAUGCGUAGAGAUGUGGAGGAAUACCGAUGGCGAAGGCAGCCCCCUGGGAUAACACUGACGCUCAUGCACGAAAGCGUGGGGAGCAAACAGGAUUAGAUACCCUGGUAGUCCACGCCCUAAACGAUGUCAACUAGUUGUUGGGGAUUCAUUUCCUUAGUAACGUAGCUAACGCGUGAAGUUGACCGCCUGGGGAGUACGGUCGCAAGAUUAAA
rnacentral:rRNA from 1 species